UUGCCUAGCCGAUUUAUGCCUAUAAAUAAGCAACCCUACGUUGGCGAAAUACAUCCGUUGCCCGUUCCAAGAAACACCGCCUUCAGUUCUCUCCGGCUACUCUUCUCUCAUCUUCUUUGAUUGUUCAAGAUCGUCUCCUCUCGAUCCCAUUCUUUCUUUGUAUUCACGACGUCUUCCCCUUCUACCAAAACCCUCAAAACCCUAAGGCGUGAAGGAUUCUUGGAUCGAAACUGCCAUUCUUUAUAUGGUGGAGGACCAUGCCACAACCAUAAUCGGUGGGGGAGACAGGAAGCAGAAGGGAAUGUCCAGAGUCCAAAGAUUCGCGUCACGGUCCUCGGUACUCUUGUCAGGAACUGUGUUAUUGGAUUUUCUUGGAAUCUUGUAUUACAAAAGAGCAGGGCUUUCUGACUCCUUUUCAUGCUUAACGCUUCUACUAUGUCGUUCAAGAAUUGGGUUCUUCGAGUUCUCUUGAAAUCUCUUUUGCAAGAGAAUAGGUUGCUUCGACUUCUUUUCUUGAUCAAUGCUUCUACUUCUCUUUUCAAGAAUCGGAUUUUUGGAUGAUUUUUGAAAUCUUUUUUUAUUGUAAAGCAGAGCUUUUCGAUUUUCUUUCACAUUCAAUGCUUUUGCUAUGCUGCUAUUUGAUACAUGUUGUUAUUGUAGGGGGAUGUUGAGUUCUGCUUACCAGAUUCGUGAUCAAGGCUUCUACUAUUUUUUUUAAGAAUCGAGUUCUUGGAUUCUUCUUGAAAUCUUUUUUAUGGUAAACCAGAACUUUUCAAUUUCUUUUCACAUUCAAUGCUUUGCUAUGCAGUUAUUUGAUGCAUAUCGUUAAUGAAAGGUGGAUGUUGAGUUCUGAAAUCGUGAUUAAAGCUUCUACCACUCUUUUCAAGGAUCGAGUUGUUAGAUGCUUCUUGAAAUCUUUUCUAUGGUAAACCAGAGCUUUUCGAAAAAAUUUUCACGUUCAAUGCUUCUGCAUGCUGCCAUUUGAUGCAUAUUGUUAAUGAAAGGUGGUUGCUAAGUUCUGAAUUUAUGAUUAGGGCUUCUACCAUUCUUUUUAAGAAUCGAGUUCUUGGAUGCUACUUGAAAUCUUUUCUAUGGUAAACCAGAGCUUUUCGAUUUCUUUUCACGUUCAAUACUUCUGUUAUGACCCUAUUUGAUGCAUAUUGUUAAUAGAAGGUAGAUGCUAAGUUCUGAAUUCGUGUUCAAGGCUUCUACCACUCUUUUGAAGAAUCAAGUUCCUGGAUGCUUUUUGAAAUCUUUUAUAUUGAAAACUAGAGUUUUUUUUAUUUCUUUUCAUGUUCAAUACUUCUGCUAUGCUGCUAUUUGAUGCAUAUUAUUAAUAGAAGGUGGAUGCUAAGUUUUGAACUCGUGAUCAAGGCUUCUAUAACUCUUUUCAAGAAUCAAGUUCUUGGAUGCUUCUUCAAAUCUUUUCUAUGGUAAACCAGAGUUUUUCGAUUUCUUUUCACAUUCAAUGCUUCUACUAUGCUGCUAUUUGAUGCAUAUUGUUAAUGGAAGAUGGAUGCUAAGUUCUAAAUUCGUGAUCAAAGUCUCUACCACUCUUUUUAAGAAUCGAGUUUUUGAAUGCUUCUUGAAAUUUUUUCUAUAGAAAACCAGAGCUUUUCGAUUUCUUUUCACGUUCAAUACUUCUGCUAUGCUGCUAUUUGAUGUAUAUUGUUAUUUGAAGGUGGAUGCUAAGUUUUGAAUUCGUGAUCAAGACUUCUACCACUCUUUUUAAGAAUCAAGUUCUUGAAUGCUUUUUAAAAUAUUUUCUAUGAAAAAACCAGAACUUUUUGAUUUUUUUCAUGUUCAAUGCUUCUACUAUGCUGCUAUUUCAUGCAUAUUGUUAAUGAAAGUUGGAUGCUAAGUUCUGAAUUCGUGAUCAAGGCUUCUAUCACUCUUUUCAAGAAUCUAGUUCUUGAAAGCUUCUUGAAAUUUUUUCUAUAGUAAACCAGAGUUUUUUGGUUUCUUUUCAUGUUUAAUGUUUCUGCUAUGGUGCUAUUUGAUGCAUAUUGCUAAUGGAAGAUGAAUGCUAAGUUUUGAAUUCGUGAUCAAGGUUUCUACCACUCUUUUCAAGAAUCAAUUUUUUUGAUGCUUCUUGAAAUCUUUUCUAUAGUAAAUCAGAGCUUUUUGAUCUUCUUUCAUGUUCAAUGCUUUUGCUAUGCUGCUAUUUGAUGCAUAUUGUUAAUGGAAGGUGGAUGCUAAGUUCUAAAUUCGUGAUCAAAGCUUCUACUUCAAGAAUCUAGUUCUUGGAAGCUUUUUAAAAUCUUUUUUAUGAAAAAUCAAUGCUUUUUGAUUUCUUUUCAUGUUUAAUGCUUCUACUAUGCUGCUAUUUGAUGCAUAUCGUUAAUAGAAGGUGGAUGCUAAGUUCUGAAUUCGUGAUUAAAGCUUCUACCACUCUUUUCAAGAAUCAAGUUCUUGGAUGCUAAUCUUUCCUAUGGAAAACCAAAGCUUUUCGAUUUUUUUUCAUGUUCGAUACUAGUUCUGCUAUGCUGCUAUUUAAUGUAUAUUGUUAUUUGAAGGUGGGUGCUAAGUUUUGAAUUCGUGAUUAAGACUUCUACUACUCUUUUUAAGAAUUAAGUUCUUGGAUGCUUUUUGAAAUUUUUUCUAUGGAAAAAUAGAGCUUUUCGAUUUCUUUUCACGUUCAAUGCUUCUACUAUGCUGCUAUUUGAUGCAUAUUGUUAAUGGAAGGUGGAUGCUACGUUCUGAAUUCAUGAUCAAGGCUGCUACUACUCUUUUCAAGAAAUGAGUUUUUGAAUGCUUCUUGAAAUUUUUCUAUAGUAAACUAGAGCUUUUCGAUUUCUUUUCUCGUUCAAUGCUUCUGCUAUGCUGCUAUUUGAUGCAUAUUGUUAAUAGAAGGUGGAUGCUAAAUUCUGAAUUCGUGAUCAAGGCUUCUACCACUCUUUUCAAGAAUCGAGUUCUUGAAUGCUUCUUGAAAUUUUUUCUAUGAAAACUAGAGCUUUUUGAUUUUUUUUUACGUUCAAUGUUUCUGCUAUACUGCUAUUUGAUGCAUAUUGUUAAUGGAAGGGGUGUGCUAAGUUCUGAAUUCAUGAUCCAGGCUUCAACCACUCUUUUUAAGAAUCGAGUUCUUGGAUGCUUCUUGAGAUUUUUUCUAUGAAAAAUUGGAGCUUUUCUAUUUUUUUCACGUUCGAUGCUUUGGCUAUGCUACUAUUUGAUGGAUAUUGUUAAGGAAAAGUGGAUGCUAAGUUCUGAAUUCGUGAUCUAGGCUUUUACCACUCUUCAAGAAUUGAGUUUUUGGAUGCUCUUGAAAUCUUUUCUAUUGUAAACCAGAGCUUUUCGAUUUUUUUCACGUUCAAUACUUCUGCUAUUCUUCUAUUUGAUGCAUAUUGUUAUUUGAAGGUGGAUGCUAAGUUCAAAAAUCGUGAUCAAGGCUUCUACCACUUUUUUCAAAAAUUGAGUCCUUGGAUGCUUCUUAAAAUUUUUUCUAUGGAAAACUAGAGCUUUUCAAAAUUUUUUUCACAUUCAAUGCUUCUGCUAUGCUACUAUUUGAUGCAUAUUGUUAAUGAAAGGUGGAUGCUAAGUUCUAAAUUCGUGAUCAAGGCUUCUACCACUUUUUGCAAGAAUCGAGUUUUUUGAUGCUUUUUGAAAUCUUUUCUAUGGUAAACCAAAGCUUUUUAAUUUUUUUUCAUGUUCUAUAUUUCUGCUAUGCUGCUAUUCGAUGCAUAUUGUUAAUAAAAGGUGGAUGUUAAGUUCUGAAUUCGUGAUCAAGGCUUCUACCACUCUUCAAGAAUCGAGUUCUUGGAAGCUUUUUGAAAUCUUUCUGUGGUAAACCAGAGUUUUUCGACUUUUUUUCACGUUCAAUGCUUCUACUAUGCUGCUAUUUGAUGCAUAUUGUUAAUGGAAAGUAGAUGCUCAGUUCUGAAUUCGUGAUCAAGGCUUGUAUCACUUUUUUCAAGAAUCGAAUUCUUGGAUGCUUCUUGAAAUCUUUUUUAUGAAAAACUAGAGCUUUUCGAUUUUUCUUUCACAUUCAAUGCUUCUGCUAUGCUGUUAUUUAAUGUAUAUUGUUAAUGGAAGGUGGACGGUAAGUUUUGAAUUCGUGAUCAAGGCUCGACCACUCUUUUCAAGAAUCGAGUUUUUAAAUGCUUUUGAAAUCUUUUCCAUAGAAAACCAUAGCUUUUCGAUUUCUUUUCACGUUCAAUGCUUCUGCUGUGCUGCUAUUUGAUGCAUAUUGUUAAUGGAAGGUGGAUACUAAGUUCUGAAUUUGGGAUCAAGGCUUCUACCACUCUUUUCAAGAAUCGAGUUUUUAGAUGCUACUUGAAAUAUUUUUUAUGAAAAACCAGAGCUUUUCAAUUUCUUUUCACAUUCAAUGUUUCUGUUAUGCUGCUAUUUGAUUCAUAUUGUUAAUGGAAGGUUGCUUCACAAGAACGAUUAUGAGAGAGAGAGAGGGGGGGGGGGGGGUUGCUUCACACGAACGAUUGUGAGAGGGGUUCUCUCGAAUAGUCACGACCUUGUUUUGGGGAAUUAGGGUUUGGUUUGGUACACCUCGAAAUGGUUGGUUUGGGACGAACCCUCAUAGGAUCAUACGUUAUUUUAGUAUUAAUUGUUUGCAGAUUUACCAUAUGGUAUUACACUGUCAGUUAGUAUUAAGUAUCAGCAUAUAAAUAUAUACAACCUUGUAAGCAAUUAUUUUUACGGGCAUAGAAACAUUCAAUUGUGUUUUUUAUUUAGGUCUUAUGGAUGGUAAUAGUGUUUAUUUCUACAAGUUAAAUUUUUAUUUUCUAGCAUUUUCAUGUGGAAAUAAUAUAUGAACUUGCUCUUGUAGUGAAAGUCAUGUGGAAAUAAUAAUAGUUGUCCAUCAGAAAUAUAUAACACAUAUCCAAAAUUCGAAUUAGUUCGAAUGACACUAAGGUAAUUCAUAUCAACAAAAAUUUUAGAAAUGGAACCCUUCAAAUCUCCUUCAUUUUAGUUGAAGAUCUUCGAUUUAAUACAUAAAGUUGAAUUUGUAUGGAUGUGCCUUCAGCAUUGUUGGCCGGGUUUGGGAUGAUUUCCAUAGUAGCCUAUCCCCAGAUACGUUGAUAUGCACACAAGGUUGGCUUCGAGACACCUUGCCUCAUCUUGCAGCUAUUUUCUAUCAAGUUCAUACAUCGUCGGGGUGCGACAUUGCGAACUGAAGGGUAAGAGACUCCGCUUUCUGAAUUGGGCCAAAAGCAUGUCUCUUUACACUGCCAUGUGCCAUCUACUUCACUUGACAUGUCGUACUAUGUUUUUUCUUGCUUGACUGUGAUGUAAUUCAUUUUCAUACUGUCUUGGAUAGGUUCAUCUAAAUGUUCAAAUGAACCACUAGAAUAUUCUCUCAGUUAAAGUGAACUGAUCAUUCAUGGAUGUUUAGGUAGUAUGUCUUUCUGUUUUGCAGUCCUAUCAAACCACAGAGAAAACAAUUAUACUGCAGAUGGUUUAGGUAAUUCCUUUGGUUCAUUUGGUUCAGUUACAGGUUCGGAAUGCACAAUUGGCCCUUUAUGGAUGAUUUGGGCUUGUGAAAUACAGCUUGCUGUGGGUGUAGAUAUGCUCACUGUAAGAUGUGGAAUUAUUAGUCAACGACAGAUUUCAAUGUUGCUACAUCUUUCAAAUUAGUUUGCUGAUGAGUUUGCUGAUGGAAAUAAAGAUAUACUAGCAAUUUUCUGUGUUUCUCAUGGAGGUUUUUCAGUUUAGAUUCUCUAUUUUUAUUGCUUGUAUACUCACUAUCAUCAAACUAUCAAUCUAUCAUCUUAGAGAAGAACAGGAGCCAAAGUCAGCAGAAGUGUGAAGAGUUCGUGGGCUUAGAUGGUCUGAUGUUGCUAGGCCAUUUCUACUGGGAUACACACAGCGAUGGUCCAACCAGAAUGCUAAGCACGGGCUGAAGGGGGUGGUUUCGGUUUGGUAUUCACAAAGCAUGGAGUUCCCUCAUUGUCAUCGACUUCUUGAUACAUAUUGUAAGUCUUUUUUUGUUACACAUCUAGUAGCAACUCAUACAUAUCUCUAGGUAAAUUAAUAUAUAGUUUUAAAAUAUGAUGUAUAUCAGUAUAUAAUAUGUAGCUAGUUGAUACAUAUCUAGCAAUAUAAUCAUUCAACAUCUCACUGCAUAUCUCCAAAUAAAUUGGUACGAUCUUCAUAAUAUGAUGCUCACCAGUAUACACUACAUAAUCAAGUGAUAUAUAUUUUUCGGCUUUCUGAUACAUACUAUAAAAUUUUCUGAUACACAUCCAGCAGCAACCCAAGACAUAUCUUCAGAUAAAUGGAUACACAAUUUUCAGAAUAGAGUAUCAGUACUCGUUGCACGGUUAGAUAAUACACAUCUAGCAAAAUAGUCGUCUAACAUUCCAAUAUAUACUUUUAGAUAAACAGCUACACAGUUUGCAGAAGAAAGGAAGAAAUGAACUUGGGAGGAGAAGAAAGUCCUCACGGAUGGAAAAGACGGCUUGAUGAGAAAAAAAGAAUAAAAGAAGAGGCUUGACAAGAAAGAAAGAGAAUGUAAAUAGGCUUUCUUUACGAAUAAUUAGGGGACUGACGGAAAUUUGUUUAUGACCGCCAUUCCGGUGGGUCAGGAUGGUGUCCUUCCCAAAAUUCCACUAACCAAGGAACGCCAAGAAUCCAGCCGGUAGUACGUCCCUGUCGCCAAUCGAGGUCUGAUACAUUACAACUUGCGAUUCACAAACUGGUGGGGCCUACGGAAUAUAAAACUGGUGGGACCUAUGGCGCAUGAUUGGUGUAAAUCAGGAAUUUCCAUGAUAUGAUGCUCUGGAUUUCGUCUCUUUGUGCAGCUUCAGUGAUACAUUAAUCCAAGCAAUGGUGUUGCCAAAUUAAAGUGGUAUUCCAAAUACGCAAAGGAAAGAGCAUGAAUGCGUUUGAAUUUAAAAUGCUAGAUUUGUCUU